rnacentral:rRNA from 1 species
AUGAACGCUAGCUACAGGCUUAACACAUGCAAGUCGAGGGGCAGCAUCAUCAAAGCUUGCUUUGAUGGAUGGCGACCGGCGCACGGGUGAGUAACACGUAUCCAACCUGCCGACAACACUGGGAUAGCCUUUCGAAAGAAAGAUUAAUACCGGAUGGCAUAGUUUUCCCGCAUGGGAUAAUUAUUAAAGAAUUUCGGUUGUCGAUGGGGAUGCGUUCCAUUAGGCAGUUGGCGGGGUAACGGCCCACCAAACCUACGAUGGAUAGGGGUUCUGAGAGGAAGGUCCCCCACAUUGGAACUGAGACACGGUCCAAACUCCUACGGGAGGCAGCAGUGAGGAAUAUUGGUCAAUGGACGAGAGUCUGAACCAGCCAAGUAGCGUGAAGGAUGACUGCCCUAUGGGUUGUAAACUUCUUUUAUACGGGAAUAAAGUGAGCCACGUGUGGCUUUUUGUAUGUACCGUAUGAAUAAGGAUCGGCUAACUCCGUGCCAGCAGCCGCGGUAAUACGGAGGAUCCGAGCGUUAUCCGGAUUUAUUGGGUUUAAAGGGAGCGUAGGCGGGUUGUUAAGUCAGUUGUGAAAGUUUGCGGCUCAACCGUAAAAUUGCAGUUGAUACUGGCGACCUUGAGUGCAACAGAGGUAGGCGGAAUUCGUGGUGUAGCGGUGAAAUGCUUAGAUAUCACGAAGAACUCCGAUUGCGAAGGCAGCUUACUGGAUUGUAACUGACGCUGAUGCUCGAAAGUGUGGGUAUCAAACAGGAUUAGAUACCCUGGUAGUCCACACAGUAAACGAUGAAUACUCGCUGUUGGCGAUAUACAGUCAGCGGCCAAGCGAAAGCAUUAAGUAUUCCACCUGGGGAGUACGCCGGCAACGGUGAAACUCAAAGGAAUUGACGGGGGCCCGCACAAGCGGAGGAACAUGUGGUUUAAUUCGAUGAUGCGCGAGGAACCUUACCCGGGCUUAAAUUGCAACUGACGGAACCGGAAACGGUUCUUUCUUCGGACAGUUGUGAAGGUGCUGCAUGGUUGUCGUCAGCUCGUGCCGUGAGGUGUCGGCUUAAGUGCCAUAACGAGCGCAACCCUUACGGGUAGUUACCAUCAGGUUAUGCUGGGGACUCUACCCGGACUGCCGUCGUAAGAUGUGAGGAAGGUGGGGAUGACGUCAAAUCAGCACGGCCCUUACGUCCGGGGCUACACACGUGUUACAAUGGGGGGUACAGAAGGCAGCUACACGGCGACGUGGUGCUAAUCCCAAAAGCCUCUCUCAGUUCGGAUUGGAGUCUGCAACCCGACUCCAUGAAGCUGGAUUCGCUAGUAAUCGCGCAUCAGCCACGGCGCGGUGAAUACGUUCCCGGGCCUUGUACACACCGCCCGUCAAGCCAUGAAAGCCGGGGGUACCUGAAGUACGUAACCGCGAGGAGCGUCCUAGGGUAAAACUGGUGAUUGGGGCU